ACGACCACUAGGCUUGCACCUUGAUUACAUAUCCUUAUCUUGAUAUGGGAUGAUCUUUACACUGUAGUUUCAGUGAUUUUAAUACAAAUUUCUUUUGACUGAGAAAAAAAAGAAGAUAGCACGUCACCUAUGAAAACAGAGAAGAAAACAACAAAUCAUCAAUCUCUGUAGGACCCUGUAUGGAGAAAGUAUGGAGAUUUCAAGGGCGAUAAGUUAAAGGCAAAACAAUCUUGAAAGGAUGCCAGCCUUCGUAUGAGUUUCUGAAACUGUGGGUCUUUCCAUUGAGAGCAGGGCUCCAGUCUUCCUCAGGCUUCAGGUUGUUGGAUUCUAUUCGUUAAUUUCCUGAAAGCAUCUCUCUUGCCAGGGCUUUAAAUUUCUUGCAUAAUUAACAUUAUGUUCUUAUUCAUCCUCACAAUUUACAUAAAUAAAAUUAAGUUCAUUUCAAUCGGCUGCAUGGAUUAUGACCUGGUCCAAAGCACCAGCAUUGCGACAAAGUGGUAAUUCGAGUUGGAAUAUUCAUCACAGAAAUCUUUGGAAGUUUCCAUGUCUUUUUUUUUUCUUUGGACAAAUGGGUGGUUAGACAGAGGCGGUGAAACUCAGCAUCCAUGUGAUCCCGUGUACUUCGUUGACACUGAAUAACAUCACAUGAGAUGUUUGUGUUCAAAUUUUAGAUAUUAGAAAGACAGAUCAAUCAAGUCGAACAAAGCUAAUUAUUGCCGUCAGAAUCUCCACCAGCCGUUGCAUGUCGUGCAGCAGACUGCAGAUUCUUUGCUCCUCUUAGUGAGCCUACUAAGCUAUAGCUACCCAAUUCUGUUUCUGCCUUUCAUCUCCUCAGGCACCCUCAGAUUGCUUGGGAUCUUACACCGAAAUUCAUUCUAAAAGAGUCAUUCACCAUCAACAUGACAAUUAGUCAGUUCAAGGGUAGACUCCCCUGUAGAAUUACUGAAAGAAACUUUGGAAGAGGGGAAAGUAAAAAUGCUAUGAAAGCACGCUGGAGUUGUUCUUUUCUGCUAGCAUAUAGGAGGAGGAGACUGAGCUUCAACAAUGCUAUCAAGUGUUGUGGCUCAACAGGUGAUCAGCAUACUUCAGAUCAUAUUAGCUUGAGUUCCUCUAGUAUUCGCAAGAGAUCAGAUUCCAAUGAUGCAAGUGUGGUAACUGAUGGAAUCCUAGACUCAACCAGGACACCCUUGACCAGUCAAUCAAGCCUUCAAAGUGUCCAAACCGAACUUAUAAUGCUUGCAUUACCAGCCAUUGUAGGACAAGCUAUUGAGCCUUUAGCGCAACUAAUGGAAACAGCUUUCAUUGGAAGAUUGGAGCUUCUGGAGGAUCUGCAUCCUUAUCUGUUUAACUGUGCUUACCAGUUAGCAUCAGCGGCUGUUUCCAUAACAAUAUUCAACAUCAUCUCAAAGGUUUUCAAUAUUCCUCUUCUAAGUGUUGCAACAUCAUUUGUGGCUGAAGACAUCUCAGAAACCAGGAAGGAAUUUGCUUCAGAUGAAUCAGCCGAAAGACAGUUUCUUCCCUCUGUGUCUACGGCUUUACUUUUGGCGUUAGCCAUAGGUAUUUUUGAGGCUUCAGCUAUGUACAUGGGAUCUGCAGUGUUCGUUAAUAUAAUGGGCCUAUCAUCAGCUUCACCCAUGUACAUUCCGGCACAAAAAUUCUUGUCAGUUAGGGCAAUUGGAGCACCUGCAGUUGUGGUUUCUCUGGCAAUUCAGGGCAUCUUCCGUGGUUUUAAGGAUACCAAAACUCCAGUUUUAUGUCUAGGACUUGGAAAUUUGUCAGCUAUUUUCUUAUUUCCCAUACUCAUGUAUUCUUAUGGGCUUGGUGUAACUGGUGCUGCCAUUUCUACUGUUUUGUCUCAAUAUAUUGUUGCUAUUUUGAUGAUUUGGCAUCUUAAUAAGAGGACUGUUUUAUUGCUUCCUGGCAUCAAGAAUUUGCAAUUUGGUGGUUACCUAAAAUCUGGUGGUUUUCUUCUGGGAAGAACUCUUGUUUCUGUCAUGACUAUAACUUUAAGCACAUCAAUGGCUGCUCGUCUAGGACCAUUAGCCUUGGCAGCCCAUCAAAUAUGUUUGCAAGUGUGGUUAUCUGUUUCUUUGCUUUUUGAUGCACAAGCCGCUUCCGGUCAGGCUCUUAUUGCAAGUUCUUUAGCUAAAGGGGACUAUGCCAGAGUGAAAGAGAUUACUUAUUGUACCUUGAAGACAGGACUGUUUACUGGUAUUUCCCUAGCAGUCAUACUUGGAGCUUCUUUCGGGUCGCUAGCCACAUUGUUCACCAGGGACAAAGAAGUUCUCAGAAUUAUUAGAUCUGUGCUGUUGUUGGUCAGUUCUAGUCUACCUAUAACUGCUCUGGCUUAUACUUUUGAUGGCCUGCAUUACGGUAUAUCAGACUUCUCAUACGCUGCCUUCUCUAUGAUGGUAGUCGGUGCAGUUUCUUCUGCAUUUUUGCUCUUUGCUUCUUCUGUCAUGGGUCUUUCAGGGGUUUGGACAGGUUUGGCUCUUUUCAUGGGCUUGCGCACAGGAGCUGGAUUGCUCAGGGAUGAAAAAUGAUACUGACUUUGUUGCAAAAACUCCAAAAGAAUAACGUUGCUUCUGAGAUGAACACGUUGAUGGACUCUCUGCAUGCAUGCCAAUGUUUUGAUAAACACCACUUGCAUUUUGUUCUUUUCCAGGAUAUCAUCAAAGAAUGGUCCAUGGUUUUUCUUGCAGGAAAGACAUUAAAAAGGGAUGUCGGCUUGAAGUGUCAAAAACUUGACAUUGAAGAAACUGCAGAUGCUCCCUCUAAGAGAUGUAUUUCAAGCUGGAAAACUACUUUGAUUGUGGAGAACUGAAGCUGAGAACCUCCUCGUUGAUUCCAUCUGCUGAAGGAAAUUACAGCAAAUGAAUGUUACUAUCUAAAAAAAAAAGAGAAAAGAAGGCUUCUGUUACAUAUUGUGAGUUGGGCCACGACGUGCCAUGGAUUUAAGGAUUAGAGUUUUUGAUUGCUAGAAUAAGAUCAGAAACAUGAUACAAAAUUAUGAAAAAGACAUCCAAGUGGGUAGCUAGGGAGUUUAUCCGAACCCGCUUGAACUGGACAUGACGCAAAACUCCUCCCACAGAACUCUAGGCUCGAGGAGAUUCUGAAGUCGGCUUUCUUUUUUUUUUUAAUUCUAUUUGUCAGGAUAAAAAUAUAAUAAAUAUUUUUCAAUUAUAGUUUGAUGUUAACAAUCCAUUUCUAUGUACUUUACAAUCUUUUCCAAAAAUGGACUAGAAUUUACUA